CUUGAAGGCGACUCCAUGAGAAAUGGACCACCAUCAGAGAGUUUCAUGUAAAGUAGCAGCGUAUUAAUGUGGAGCUUUGGACAUAUCACUCUGGCAACUGUUUGGAGAAUGAUUGAAGGAGGAAAAAAAAUGGAAGCGGGGAACCAUUUGAGAAGAUGUUUCAGUAGCCAAGGCUACACAACGUUCCUGAGAGUAUUUAUUCUGAGACAAAAAUGCCAGUCACAUCUUUAAGACCUUACUUAACAAGGAACUAACGAGAAAACAAGUUGGAAGUUUCUUCACCUGCAAGAUGGGACUAAGAAGAGCAUCCGUCUAAUUGUCAGAAUGAAGCAAUUUAUGUCAAGAGGGGAGUGCGCUGCCUGGCACAAAGGAAGUGCCCCAGAAACGUCAGGUGCUGCUGUUACCACGACUGUUUACCAAGCACAGUUCCAGUCGAAGGGUGAGACGGUGAUGGAAAAACCUGGAGCUCAAAUGUCUGAGGCGCUCUCCGAGAUGCACUGAAGCCAUAAACCCAAGAGCCCCAACGUCUCAGAGGAAGACUUUCCAAGACUUCUGCGGGUUCUCCCGAGAGUCCAGGCCUGGAAUCGGCGGCGGCGAGGGCCGACGGCAGGACAGGACAGGAAGAGCUGG
rnacentral:lncRNA from 1 species